rnacentral:sRNA from 1 species
CACCAUGAAGGACGUGCAGAGGGUCUUCAAUGGCCUCUACAAGGAGGUGAACCGUGAGACGCAGCAGUGGUACACCGUGACCCACCCGGUGCCCAUACCCCGGCCUGGAGCGUGCAUCACCAACAGUGCCCGGGAAAGGAAGAUCAACUCAUCCCUGCAGCUCCCAGAUCGCGUGCUGAACUUCCUCAAGGACCACUUCCUGAUGGAUGGGCAGGUCCGAAGCCGCAUGCUGCUGCUGCAGCCCCAGGCUCGCUACCAGCGCGUGGCUGUACACCGCGUCCCUGGCCUGCACCACACCUACGAUGUCCUCUUCCUGGGCACUGGUAAGUGUCUGCAGCCCAGCAGGCUCAGGGGAAGGGGUGCACAUGACUGGUGGGUCAUGGGCAGUGGGCUCCACCAGGGCCUGAGUCCUGUCCACACCCCAGGUGACGGCCGGCUUCACAAGGCAGUGAGCGUGGGCCCCCGGGUGCACAUCAUUGAGGAGCUGCAGAUCUUCUCAUCGGGACAGCCUGUGCAGAAUCUGCUCCUGGACACCCACAGGGGACUGCUGUAUGC